rnacentral:rRNA from 1 species
AACGCUAGCUACAGGCUUAACACAUGCAAGUCGAGGGGCAGCAUUUCAGUUUGCUUGCAAACUGGAGAUGGCGACCGGCGCACGGGUGAGUAACACGUAUCCAACCUGCCGAUAACUCGGGGAUAGCCUUUCGAAAGAAAGAUUAAUACCCGAUGGCAUAAUUAGACCGCAUGGUCUUAUUAUUAAAGAAUUUCGGUUAUCGAUGGGGAUGCGUUCCAUUAGGCAGUUGGUGAGGUAACGGCUCACCAAACCUUCGAUGGAUAGGGGUUCUGAGAGGAAGGUCCCCCACAUUGGAACUGAGACACGGUCCAAACUCCUACGGGAGGCAGCAGUGAGGAAUAUUGGUCAAUGGGCGCAGGCCUGAACCAGCCAAGUAGCGUGAAGGAUGACUGCCCUAUGGGUUGUAAACUUCUUUUAUAUGGGAAUAAAGUUUUCCACGUGUGGAAUUUUGUAUGUACCAUAUGAAUAAGGAUCGGCUAACUCCGUGCCAGCAGCCGCGGUAAUACGGAGGAUCCGAGCGUUAUCCGGAUUUAUUGGGUUUAAAGGGAGCGUAGGUGGACAGUUAAGUCAGUUGUGAAAGUUUGCGGCUCAACCGUAAAAUUGCAGUUGAUACUGGCUGUCUUGAGUACAGUAGAGGUGGGCGGAAUUCGUGGUGUAGCGGUGAAAUGCUUAGAUAUCACGAAGAACUCCGAUUGCGAAGGCAGCUCACUGGACUGCAACUGACACUGAUGCUCGAAAGUGUGGGUAUCAAACAGGAUUAGAUACCCUGGUAGUCCACACAGUAAACGAUGAAUACUCGCUGUUUGCGAUAUACAGUAAGCGGCCAAGCGAAAGCAUUAAGUAUUCCACCUGGGGAGUACGCCGGCAACGGUGAAACUCAGAGGAAUUGACGGGGGCCCGCACAAGCGGAGGAACAUGUGGUUUAAUUCGAUGAUACGCGAGGAACCUUACCCGGGCUUAAAUUGCAUUUGAAUAAUCUGGAAACAGGUUAGCCGCAAGGCAAAUGUGAAGGUGCUGCAUGGUUGUCGUCAGCUCGUGCCGUGAGGUGUCGGCUUAAGUGCCAUAACGAGCGCAACCCUUAUCUUUAGUUACUAACAGGUCAUGCUGAGGACUCUAGAGAGACUGCCGUCGUAAGAUGUGAGGAAGGUGGGGAUGACGUCAAAUCAGCACGGCCCUUACGUCCGGGGCUACACACGUGUUACAAUGGGGGGUACAGAAGGCAGCUACCUGGUGACAGGAUGCUAAUCCCAAAAGCCUCUCUCAGUUCGGAUCGAAGUCUGCAACCCGACUUCGUGAAGCUGGAUUCGCUAGUAAUCGCGCAUCAGCCAUGGCGCGGUGAAUACGUUCCCGGGCCUUGUACACACCGCCCGUCAAGCCAUGAAAGCCGGGGGUACCUGAAGUACGUAACCGCAAGGAGCGUCCUAGGGUAAAACUGAU